UACGGAGGGUGCGAGCGUUGUCCGGAAUCAUUGGGCGUAAAGGGCGCGUAGGUGGCCCGGUCAGUCAGUGGUGAAAGCGCGGGGCUCAACUCCGCGUCAGCCAUUGAUACUGCUGGGCUGGAGCACUGUAGAGGCAGGCGGAAUUCCGGGUGUAGCGGUGGAAUGCGUAGAGAUCCGGAAGAACACCGGUGGCGAAGGCGGCCUGCUGGGCAGUUGCUGACACUGAGGCGCGACAGCGUGGGGAGCAAACAGG
rnacentral:rRNA from 1 species